CAGACGGACUGCCGAUUAAAUAUUACAAAACAUACGCCGAAGACUUAUACCCACCCAUGGUAGAGGCGUUCAACGCGAUAAGAGAUGGGAACCAUAUCCCCAGACAAGCCCUAACAGCCCACAUCACUAUUAUCCCCAAAGAUGGCAAAGAUAGGGAGCAAUGCGGAAAUUACAGACCGAUCUCACUUAUAAAUUGCGACAUUAAAUUACUGGCCAAAAUCCUGGCAACCCGACUUACAAAACACAUCCCUUCACUAGUCCACCCAGACCAGGUAGGGUUCGUGACAGGAAGAGAAGCUCGAGAUAACACCAUCAGGGCGCUCACCCUCAUGCACGGGAAAGAGAGUAUGAAAG